UGGUCAACAUGUCUGUCUGGCCCAAAAUUUUCUUAUGGUGUGAAUUUGUAGCCCAACUAUCAACUCACCGCUUGAUUUCUCUUACUGCAUCUGACACUGGUGAGAAGCCCCAUCUGCAAAGUCCUCUUCUUCAAACGGCUCUACGCUUAACAUCUCUGCUCUCUCUCACCCCUCCCCUCUGUCUAUUGGUAUUUCCUACUGGAUUUGUCACUGUGAGACUUUCAGUACUCAAAACUUCGGAUUCACAUACAAGUAAAAGAUAAUUGCAAUGGGUAGCCAAUCUGAUCCUCACGCUUUCGCUUUUUCUGCAGCUGAGUUGGAGUUUUUUCAGAAGAUGAUACGACUGAAAUUAUGCCAAACAUGAGAAUGGAACCUCUCAAUCUUGUAUAUGUAUUAUUUUCCUCUUUUAGUUAAAUUUAUUUCACAUAAGCUUUGUAGUGUUUGUGCUUAUUUUGUUUUGACUAUUCAAAUUAUCUGUCCACAAAUAGCAACACAGGUGCAUCUUUGGUUAGCAGUUGAUGUUAAAAAACAAAGGAAAAUGUACUAUCAGACCUCUUGAAGCCAUGUCCAUUGGCUUAUUGAAUUGACAUAUGUGGACGCUGUGGGUCGACGACAUUACUGUCUCAUCUGCUACAUCUUUAGAGGACCAUCAUACUCAUUGUUUCACCUCAGAAUUUCUUCCAGUUACUAAUAAGUCUCAUGUUUCCUUGCUUAAAACAUAGUCAUGCUAAUACGCUACCAAAAUUAAAUAGGAAAAUUCAAUUUUUGCAGAGCCAAAUUCCAAGUUGUUCAUUUCUUUUAAUUUGGUUUUCCUUUGGUAUUUUUAUCUCAGUUAUACCAGUUGUUUCUUAGAGCCUUGUUUUAACUUUCAAGGCCAGUCUA